CAGGAGAGUAAGAUGCCAUCCUAUCAGUUAGUAAGUAGGGUAAGGGCCUACUUAGACGAAGACGGGUACGGGGAAUGAGGGUUUGAUUCCGGAGAGGGAGCCUGAGAGAUGGCUACCAGGACCAAGGUCAGCAGCAGGCGCGAAAAUUAUCGAAGCCCGCCUAGGGGCGAUAGUGAGGAGACGUGUAUAACGAAGUACGUGUAAAGAACGUGCUAAUAACUGGAGGUCAAGUCUGGUGCCAGCAUCCGCGGUAAUUCCAGCUCCAGGGGUGUCUAUGAUGAUUGCUGCGAUUAAAAAGUCCGUAGUCAAUCUGACUGACUGGCCUGCAAUGUGAUUGAUUAAAGAACGAGCAGGGUUAGGAAAGCAGAGAAUCAGGAGCGACCGAGGGCUAGAGUAUUGAAUGGCGAGAGGUGAAAUUUGAUGACCCAUUCAGGAGUGACAAAGGCGAAGGCACUAGUCAAGGGCGAAUCCGAUGAUCAAGGACGUAGGCUAGAGUUUCGAAAACGAUUAGAGACCGGAGUAGUUCUAGCAGUAAACUAUGCCGACGCCGUGGUAUCAUUUUGGUAUUGCGGAAGAGAAAUCAAGUAAGGCUUUGGGGAGAGUACGCGCGCAAGCGAUAAAUUUAAAGGAAAUUGACGGAGGAACACCACAAGGAGUGGAGUGUGCGGCUUAAUUUGACUCAACGCGGGACAGCUUACCAGGCCCGAUAAUCGAGCGAGCGUAGUACGCGAUAGGUUAAAGAGUGGUGCAUGGCUGCUAUCGACAGUUGGGGUGACCUUAGGGUUAAUUCCGGCAAGUAGUGAGACCCCUGCAGAUAGUGGACAGGUAUUUUUAAAAUACAGGAAGGAAGGGACAAGAGCAGGUCAGUGAUGCCCUUAGAUGGCCUGGGCUGC
rnacentral:rRNA from 1 species